GAUGAACGCUGGCGGCGUGCCUAAUACAUGCAAGUCGAGCGAACAGACGAGGAGCUUGCUCCUCUGACGUUAGCGGCGGACGGGUGAGUAACAAGUGGAUAACCUACUUAUAAGACUGGGAUAACUUCGGGAAACCGGAGCUAAUACCGGAUAAUAUAUUGAACCGCAUGGUUCAAUAGUGAAAGACGGUUUUGCUGUCACUUAUAGAUGGAUCCGCGCCGCAUUAGCUAGUUGGUAAGGUAACGGCUUACCAAGGCGACGAUGCGUAGCCGACCUGAGAGGGUGAUCGGCCACACUGGAACUGAGACACGGUCCAGACUCCUACGGGAGGCAGCAGUAGGGAAUCUUCGGCAAUGGGCGAAAGCCUGACGGAGCAACGCCGCGUGAGUGAUGAAGGUCUUCGGAUCGUAAAGCUCUGUUAUUGGGGAAGAACAAAUGUGUAAUUAACUAUGCACGUCUUGACGGUACCUAAUCAGAAAGCCACGGCUAACUACGUG
rnacentral:rRNA from 1 species